CGGUUGUGUUACUAUGAGUUUUCGUGAGCAAUUUUUAUCGUCCAUCUUAUUUAAUAUUUUUUAUAAUUAAUACUUUUACUGUUAUAAGAUGAUAAACACAUAAAAAUAAAUAAAUAAAUAAAUAAAUAAAUACUUUAUAUAUGAUUUAUAUUUUUAUUUUUUAAAAAUAAAUAAAUAAGACGGACGAUCAAAGUUGGUCACGAAGUAAUGGCUAUACUUAAA
rnacentral:pre_miRNA from 1 species